UACGGGGGGGGCAAGCGUUGUUCGGAAUUACUGGGCGUAAAGGGUUCGUAGGUGGCCAACUAAGUCAGACGUGAAAUCCCUCGGCUUAACCGGGGAACUGCGUCUGAUACUGGUUGGCUUGAGUGCAGGAGAGGAACGCGGAAUUCCAGGUGUAGCGGUGAAAUGCGUAGAUAUCUGGAGGAACACCGGUGGCGAAGGCGGCGUUCUGGACUGCAACUGACACUGAGGAACGAAAGCCAGGGGAGCAAACGGG
rnacentral:rRNA from 1 species